rnacentral:tRNA from 1 species
GCGGUAGUGGUCUAACGGUAUGAUGGAGGCCUGUGGAGCCUCAUGAGGGAGUUCAACUCUCCCCUACCGCACCA